AACGAACGCUGGCGGCAGGCCUAACACAUGCAAGUCGAACGCCCUAGCAAUAGGGAGUGGCAGACGGGUGAGUAACACGUGGGAACCUUCCCUAUAGUACGGAAUAGCCCAGGGAAACUUGGAGUAAUACCGUAUAAGCCCGAGAGGGGAAAGAUUUAUCGCUAUAGGAUGGGCCCGCGUCGGAUUAGCUAGUUGGUGAGGUAAUAGCUCACCAAGGCGACGAUCCGUAGCUGGUUUGAGAGAACGACCAGCCACACUGGGACUGAGACACGGACCAGACUCCUACGGGAGGCAGCAGUGAGGAAUAUUGGUCAAUGGGCGCAAGCCUGAACCAGCCAUCCCGCGUGCAGGAAGACGGCCCUAUGGGUUGUAAACUGCUUUUCCAGGGAGAGAAACUUACGCACGUGUUGCGUGACUGACGGUACCCUGGGAAUAAGCAUCGGCUAACUCCGUG
rnacentral:rRNA from 1 species